UACGUAGGUGGCAAGCGUUAUCCGGAAUUAUUGGGCGUAAAGAGCUUGUAGGCGGUUUGUCGCGUCUGCUGUGAAAAUCCGGGGCUCAACCCCGGACUUGCAGUGGGUACGGGCAGACUAGAGUGUGGUAGGGGAGACUGGAAUUCCUGGUGUAGCGGUGAAAUGCGCAGAUAUCAGGAGGAACACCGAUGGCGAAGGCAGGUCUCUGGGCAGUAACUGACGCUGAGGAGCGAAAGCAUGGGUAGCGAACAGGAUUAGAUA
rnacentral:rRNA from 1 species